rnacentral:snRNA from 1 species
AGAGAUAUUCUCUCCAUUCGAUAAAAUUGGAAAGAUAGAGGGAAUAUUGACAUGGCCCCUACACAAGGAUGACACAUUUAGUAAUGAUAAUAAAUUUCAU